rfam:Schistosoma haematobium scaffold296_54, whole genome shotgun sequence.
AUGCAGCUGAUGAGUCCCAUCAAGGACGAAACGCGCGUCCUGGAU